rnacentral:rRNA from 1 species
AAUGAUAUCCCACGAAGGCAUCCGAAUGGGAUUAAAGAUUUAUCGGUGAUGGAUGGGGAUGCGUCUGAUUAGCUUGUUGGCGGGGUAAACGGGCCCACCAAGGCAACGAUCAGUAGGGGGUUCUUGAGAGGAAGGUCCCCCACAUUGGAACUGAGACACGGUCCAAACUCCUACGGGAGGCAGCAGUGAGGAAUAUUGGUCAAUGGGCGAGAGCCUGAACCAGCCAAGUAGCGUGCAGGACGACGGCCCUAUGGGUUGUAAACUGCUUUUAUAAGGGAAUAAAGUGAGUCUCGUGAGACUUUUUGCAUGUACCUUAUGAAUAAGGACCGGCUAAUUCCGUG